UCAGGAUGAACGCUGGCGGCGUGCCUAAUACAUGCAAGUCGAGCGAACUGAUUAGAAGCUUGCUUCUAUGACGUUAGCGGCGGACGGGUGAGUAACACGUGGGCAACCUGCCUGUAAGACUGGGAUAACUUCGGGAAACCGAAGCUAAUACCGGAUAGGAUCUUCUCCUUCAUGGGAGAUGAUUGAAAGAUGGUUUCGGCUAUCACUUACAGAUGGGCCCGCGGUGCAUUAGCUAGUUGGUGAGGUAACGGCUCACCAAGGCAACGAUGCAUAGCCGACCUGAGAGGGUGAUCGGCCACACUGGGACUGAGACACGGCCCAGACUCCUACGGGAGGCAGCAGUAGGGAAUCUUCCGCAAUGGACGAAAGUCUGACGGAGCAACGCCGCGUGAGUGAUGAAGGCUUUCGGGUCGUAAAACUCUGUUGUUAGGGAAGAACAAGUACCAAGUAG
rnacentral:rRNA from 1 species